rnacentral:sRNA from 1 species
GCUGGGUACGGUGGCGCACACCUGUAAUCCCAGAGACUUGGGAGGCUGAAGCAGGAGGAUGGCGAGUUCAAGGCCAGCCUCAGCAACUAGGGAGGCCCUAAGCAACUCAGAGAGACCCUGUUUCUA